rnacentral:lncRNA from 1 species
CGUGAGAAGGUUGGUGUGAAAACUGUGAAAGCUUUGAAGAGGAAUAAUGAAGCCGUGACUCACGCCGCUGUCGACAUGUUGUGCGUGCUCUAUGGCAGCUAAGGCACGAUAACUAUGACAUUCGACAAGAACAGAUAAACAAAAGCUCUCUGUUAUCCUGUGAAAAAUUUCCAAGCAGUUUGUUAGGAAUUCUCACGAUAAAUGUGGUGAAGUUCAAGUUGCUUUGCAAUAUAUCAAAAUAAUGUGGGGGG